rnacentral:rRNA from 1 species
GACGAACGCUGGCGGCGUGCCUAAUACAUGCAAGUCGAACGCAGUGGGGACGGGUGAGUAACACGUGGGUAACCUCCCAUCAGAGGGGAAAACACAUGGAAACCGGUGCUACACCGAGACUGAUGGAUGGACCCGCGGGGCAUGAGCUAGUUGGUGAGGUAACGGCUCACCAGGGCCACGAUGCAUAGCCGACCUGAGAGGGUGAUCGGCCACACUGGGACUGAGACACGGCCCAGACUCCUACGGGAGGCAGCAGUAGGGAAUCUUCCGCAAUGGGCGAAAGCCUGAUCGAGCAACGCCGCGUGAGUGAAGAAGGUUUUCGGAUCGUAAAGCUCUUUUAUUAGAGAAGCGGUAUCUAACCAGAAAGCCACGGCUAACUACGUGCCAGCAGCCGCGGUAAUAC